rnacentral:lncRNA from 1 species
GUUAUCAGCGCCGAUCUGUCAGCGGCAACUCGCGCGGCCGCAGGCUCGUCCGCUGCAGGAGCCGUGAUAUAUGUCUCGCUCCCUUUCGCUUACAGAAAGGAUUUCUUCCGACAGACGUGACCCCAGAAGGCUGCCGAGGGAGACUUUAGGACAAGAGGCGUUGUUUUUUUAGGGAAGGAAGAGGAGCCUGUGCAGAGUUGAACUGGGGUGGAGAGGUGCCUUGUAAAGUAUGGUUUCCAGAGAUGGUGAGACCUCGUAGCUAAGCGUUGUUUCCUCUGCACGUAACUUUUCAGCGUGGCCGCAUUUGGAAAAGGCUGAAGGUAGAAAACUCUGGAAUGGAGAGGCUGGCGACUGGAGCAGGAUCCAGGGGCUUUAAAUUUUAACCUGAAUGCGAUCGAAUGCGCGACUCCCAGAAGAGAUAGCCAGGCGUCCGCCCGGCCGCUCAACCCCCGCCAGGACUCGGAAUGCCUUGCUUUUGGUUCUUUUCUACAAGGAUGUCUGCGUGGAUAUCCCUGGACACUCGAUACCCCCCGGGGACCUG